rnacentral:rRNA from 1 species
CCUACGGGAGGCUGCAGUGGGGAAUAUUGCACAAUGGGCGAAAGCCUGAUGCAGCGACGCCGCGUGAGUGAUGAAGGACUUCGGUAUGUAAAGCUCUAUUAGUAGGGAAGAAAAUAACGGUACGUGACUAUGAAGGUCUGGCCAAAUACGGACCAGAAGACGCGGUAAUACGGCGGGGGCCACGGGUAUCCGGAUUUACUGUGUGUAACGGGAGCGUAGACGGUUGUGCAAGUCUGGAGUGAAAGGCGUGGGCUCAACCCCCGGACCGCUCGUGAAACUGGACGGCUGGAGUGCAGGAGAGGUAAGUGGAAUUCCAGGUGUAGCGGUGAAAUGCGUAGAUAUUAGGAGGAACACCAGUGGCGAAGGCGGCUUACUGGACUGUAACUGACGCUGAGGCUCGAAAGCGUGGGGAGCAAACAGGAUUAGAUACCCCAGUAGUC